AAAUAAUAUUAAUUUAUUAUUUCAGUUUAAAGUUCUUAUCAAUUUUAAGCUAAAAUCUGCGAGUACUAACCUAUUCGUUUUAGGUUAAGUUGAUAGGGAGGCUUAAUUAUGUUUUAUUUUAAGAUGGCGAUCCUAAGGGAAACCUUAUUAUUAUUACUUCCUGAAACAAAACAUUGUAGUAAGGAAAGGAAAGGAAAUCAACUGAGACUCUGAAAGUAACGGCGAGUGAAAUCAGACUAGCCAAAUCUUCAAAUAUCUAAGCUAUUCUUAAUUAUACGUAGGCCGUAUAUUAAUCUCUCGCCUUCCUUCUGGGAAAGGGAGAGAUAAUAAAUAAUAUUACAGUAAUAAUAUUAUUUAACCAUAGAAGGUGAUAGUCCUGUUAUAGCUUAAAACUAAUAAUUAUCAAAAAAGUGAUAAAACUUAAUUGUAAUAUUAUUAAGAUGAUAUUGAUUGAUAUAUAAGUACAACGGAAGAUACUCUGUUGGAAUAUAAGGGGAACCAUCCUCUAAGGCUAAGUAUUAUAAAUUUAGCGAUAGUGAAUAAGUACUGUAAAGGAAAGUCAUGUUUUGAAUAAGAGUUAGUUUUAACUCUUGACUAGUUAUUCUCAAUUUUUAUUAUUGAGAUAUAUAUGUUAUAGUGAACUUAAAAAAUAAGUAUGAAAUAGUAGCUCUAUAAGCAAUUAGAAUUUAACUUAAUAUAUUAAAUGUUAAAUGAUAAUGUACCUUUUGCAUAAUGGGUCAGCAAGUUAAUAGUAGUAGCAAGGUUAAAAUCCCUAGCGAAAGCGACUGCUUCUAAUUAAGAAUCGGAUUAAGUUACUACUAUUAGACCCGAAGUGAGGUGAUCUUGCCAUGAUCAGGUUAUAAUGGACCGAACGGGUGAAUGUUGCAAUAUUCUCCGAUGAAUUGUGGUAAGUAGGUGAAAGACUAAUCAUACCUCUAUAGCUGGUUUUCCACGAAAGAUAUUUAAGUAUCACAUCAUUCAAAGUAAAAUCUAAAGAUUUAGGAGGGUACAGCACGUUGAAUUUCAGACGAAAGUCAAAUUGGGGGGCCUUGAAAUCCUACCUUUGAAAAUUAACCUCGGAAUAUCCUAAAUUGUUGAAUGAUAGUCAGACUAUUCAUGAUAAGGUGGGUAGUCAAAACGUAAACAGACGUGAGCACGUGUUUAAGGUUCCCCAAAACCGUUUAAGUGAAAUUAAGGAAGUUUUCCCCUGGAUACAACUAUUAAGUUAGCCUGGUAGUCGCGAUCUUUUAAAGAGUGUGUAACAACUCAUUAGUCUAAGUUGGGGGGGAGCGCCGAAAAUUUAACGGGUCUUAAAACGGUUACCGAUACCGUGCUAUUUUAAUUAUAAUAUUUUAGUGUAAUUGAAAUAGGUAGUGGAACAUUCAGAGCGGACGAAAAAUAGUGUUUCAUUAUUUGGACGUAACUGAAGAGAUAAUGCUGACAUGAGUAACGUAGAAAGAAGUUAUAAUACUUCUCGCCGAAUACGAAAGGGUUAUUAAGCAAGGUUAAACCUCUUAAUGUGAUAUCGGUCUCUAAGGUUAUAGACUAAUGUUUAAACUGAUGAGUGUUUGUCCAAUUUUUUCAGUUGCUUGGUGUUAAGUUAGCAAAAUUUGUUUAAUCAAUAUUUGUUAAUUACUUGAGUUUAGCUAGAAGCUUUAGCAACUGAACUUGAAGAAUAGUCGACAAUUAGGAUCGAUUAGCGUUAAUAAUGAUCGUAACUAUUUACUUUACCAACGGUAAAUGGUUAUUAUUAAUUAUUAAAAUUAUUGAAUUUAAUUAAUUAUAAUUAUUAUUAAUAUUGUUAGAUGAUAUUUUAGUUUAUAUUUAUUGGUUUAAUGGUAUUUAUUUUUAUAAAUAAUUUUUAGAUAUAAUUGAUUAUAGUACUUAUUAGCUAUGAUUAGCAAUAUUGUAGCAGGAUCCUGCAUAGUAAAAUCCUUUUUUAUAAGGAUUACUGUGAUGAAUACCGUACCCUAAACCGACACUGGUUCGUAGGUAAAGAAUACUAAGGCGAAGAGAUAAUACUUGUAAAGGAACUCGGCAAACUUUCCUCAUAAGUUAGACGACAUGAGGAGCCGUCUAAAGGACGGUGGCACAGAAUCGGAACCCCCGACUGUUUACUUAAAACACAGAUAUCUGCGAUGAUUAAAUUAUUUGUAUAGAUGUCGAAUUUUGCCCAAUGCCAUUAAUAUAACGAAGGUGAGUUUAAUUUACCGACUGAAAAUCUGGUCAAUGGCGGUCUUAACUAUAAGGAUCCAAAGGUAGCAAAAUUCAUUGUCCGCUAAAUACGGUCCUGCAUGAAUAAAGUAACGAUGGGUUCACUGUCUCUACAAGUAUCUCAGUGAAAUUGAAAUAGCCGUGCAGAUGCGGUUUGCUUAUGGUUAGACGGGAAGACCCUAUGCAACUUUACUGUAAAUUGUUAUCAUGUUUUUUUAAUAUAGGUGUAGCAAUAUAAGGCAAUCGACAAGAUAAAAGUGAAAGACCUUAACUAUUAUUAAUUAAAUAUUAACCCCGAGUCCCUUAAUGGGAGGCAAGGAACGCUGUUAUUAAUUAGUAUGAAACUAGUUAUAAAUACCUUAUUUAAUAAUAGCAAAAAUGUGAGGGAGAUAUAUGACAAUUUGGCAGUUUGUCUGGGGCGGACGUCUUUAAUAGAGUAUCAAAGACACCCAAAAUUUAAUUAUAUUGUUAUAUUUUUAUCUUUCACCUAUCACCUUGUCACCCAUCUAAAGAUGUAAGGUGUCACCUGUCAUCUUUAGAUGGGUGUGUGUGUGUGGGAAAGAAUAUUAAUAAACAUAACAAUAUUUUUAUUAUGUAAAGUUAAAAUUUUUAAAGGUUUGCUAAAAUCGGAUGGAGACCGAUUAACUAUGUAUGGUUAAGAAGGUGUAAUGGCUAAAGCAAGCUUGACUGAGUGACCGAUAAGUCAAACAGAUACGUAAGUAGGGCAUAGUGACCCGGCGAUAUAUUAUGGAAUAGUCGUCGAUAAAUAGAUAAAAGUUACGCUAGGGAUAACAGGUUAGUCGCGGUUGAGAGUUCAUAUGGACACCGCGGUUCGACACCUCGAUGUCGACUCAUCCUAUCCUCCGGGUGUAGGUGCUUGGAAGGGUUCGGCUGUUCGCCGAUUAAAAGGGUACGUGAGUUGGGUUCGUUAAUACGACGUGAGUCAGUAUGGAUCCUAUCUUCCAUAAGGAAAAAAAGUCAAAGGGGAAGGGCCUCUCAGUACGAAAGGAUCAGAUGGCUGUGUUUCUAUAGUGUACCAAUUGUUUGAUCGGUAUUAGUUUAAGUUAAUUGUAAUAUUUAUUAGUUUAAGGCUUUAAGCUAAAUAACUCACUAUUAAAUAGAGCGUUAAAAUUCUAGUAUGCUUGUAAUUAAUAAGUUUAAAUUAUUUAAUAUAGGUUAUCUAAUUAAUAAUUUUACAAAUAAUUUAUACAAAGUAGAAGAUCUGGCAUCGUUGGGUAGCCACAAACAUAACGGAUAAGAGCUGAAAGCAUAUUAAGCACGAAACCGUUCCCUAGAGACUAAUAAAAACAAUUUAUAAUUAGCUGAUAAAUUAUAUAAUCUAAUAUUAUUC
rnacentral:rRNA from 1 species